GGAAGAAUUCCAGAAACACACCAGCAUUAAGCAGAUGUCAGUAUUACAUUUCCAUUCUUCAUGAAAUGGAGCUACAGAAAGAUCACUAUGGGCCUUAGAAAAGAAGCUUUGAAAAAAGCUGUUUUUAUGCAUGAAAUCAACAAACAAUACAACCCAGGGGAGCAUAACUCUGUAUUGCCUAGAGAUGCUAUAAUUUACAAAAAUAUGACUUUGACUGCAUCUUCAUGACGCUACCUUGCAAAUCUUCCUUUCUACUGAUGAUGUAUCUUUUUCAAUCAGUUACUUAGCUUUCUAAAUCCAUGUAUCUGCCAAAUAAAAAAGCAACAGGAAUAAAGGUACA
rnacentral:lncRNA from 1 species